UACAGAGGGGGCAAGCGUUGUUCGGAAUUAUUGGGCGUAAAGGGCGCGUAGGCGGUGCGGUAAGUCUUUUGUGAAAUCUCCGGGCUCAACUCGGAGUCUGCAGGAGAAACUGCCGUGCUUGAGUGUGGGAGAGGUGAGUGGAAUUCCCGGUGUAGUGGUGAAAUGCGUAGAGAUCGGGAGGAACACCUGUGGCGAAGGCGGCCGGCUGGGGGUGCCCUGACGCUGAGGCGCGAAAGCGUGGGGAGCGAACCGG
rnacentral:rRNA from 1 species